rnacentral:rRNA from 1 species
UUCGGGUUUAGUGGCGCACGGGUGCGUAACGCGUGGGAAUCUGCCCCUUGGUUCGGAAUAACAGUUGGAAACGACUGCUAAUACCGGAUGAUGACGUAAGUCCAAAGAUUUAUCGCCGAGGGAUGAGCCCGCGUAGGAUUAGGUAGUUGGUGUGGUAAAGGCGCACCAAGCCGACGAUCCUUAGCUGGUCUGAGAGGAUGAUCAGCCACACUGGGACUGAGACACGGCCCAGACUCCUACGGGAGGCAGCAGUGGGGAAUAUUGGACAAUGGGCGAAAGCCUGAUCCAGCAAUGCCGCGUGAGUGAUGAAGGCCUUAGGGUUGUAAAGCUCUUUUACCCGGGAUGAUAAUGACAGUACCGGGAGGAUAAGCUCCGGCUAACUCCGUGCCAGCAGCCGCGGUAAUACGGAGGGAGCUAGCGUUAUUCGGAAUUACUGGGCGUAAAGCGCACGUAGGCGGCUUUGUAAGUAAGAGGUGAAAGCCCAGAGCUCAACUCUGGAAUUGCCUUUUAGACUGCAUCGCUUGAAUCAUGGAGAGGUCAGUGGAAUUCCGAGUGUAGAGGUGAAAUUCGUAGAUAUUCGGAAGAACACCAGUGGCGAAGGCGGCUGACUGGACAUGUAUUGACGCUGAG